rnacentral:rRNA from 1 species
UACGUAGGGUGCAAGCGUUGUCCGGAAUUAUUGGGCGUAAAGAGCUCGUAGGCGGUCUGUUGCGUCGGCUGUGAAAACCCGGGGCUCAACUCCGGGCCUGCAGCCGAUACGGGCAGACUAGAGUUCGGCAGGGGAGACUGGAAUUCCUGGUGUAGCGGUGGAAUGCGCAGAUAUCAGGAGGAACACCAACGGCGAAGGCAGCUCGCUGGGACGGUACUGACGCUGAGACGCGAAAGCGUGGGGAGCGAACAGG